rnacentral:rRNA from 1 species
UACAGAGGGUGCAAGCGUUAAUCGGAAUUACUGGGCGUAAAGCGCGCGUAGGUGGUUCGUUAAGUUGGAUGUGAAAUCCCCGGGCUCAACCUGGGAACUGCAUUCAAAACUGACGAGCUAGAGUAUGGUAGAGGGUGGUGGAAUUUCCUGUGUAGCGGUGAAAUGCGUAGAUAUCGUGAGGAACACCAGAGGCGAAGGCGGUUUCCUGGACAGUUACUGACGCUGAGACGCGAAAGCGUGGGGAGCGAACAGG